ACUCGACUUCCAGGACAAGCGCUCCGUAGCUCAUUUGAUAGUAUUUUCUGAUGAUCUUUUUGUAUUCAAGGUAUAACUUGAGGUUGUUAGCGGUGGUCGUUGGAGGUGGUUAGGGGUGGUAGCGGGUGAUUAAGGUGAACAAGGAGGAGGACGAGGAGGACGAAGAUUUGUGCACGAAAUCGAGGUGUAACCCGCGGUGAUAAGCGGUGGUCGUUGGAGUCGGUUGGCGGUGGUUGGAGGUGGUCGGAG
rnacentral:lncRNA from 1 species